rnacentral:rRNA from 1 species
AGAGUUUGAUCAUGGCUCAGAAUCAACGCUGGCGGCGGCUUAACACAUGCAAGUCGCACGAGAAAGGGAGCAAUCCUAAGUAAAGUGGCGCACGGGUGAGUAACACGUGGAUCAUCUACCUUUUAGUGGGGAAUACCUCUGGGAAACCGGAGACAAUACCGCAUAAGCCCGCAAGGGGAAAGCAGCAAUGCGCUGAAAGAGGAGUCCGCGGCCGAUUAGCUAGUUGGCGGGGUAACGGCCCACCAAGGCGAAGAUCGGUAGCCGGCCUGAGAGGGCACACGGCCACACUGGCACUGAAACACGGGCCAGACUCCUACGGGAGGCAGCAGUGGGGAAUCUUGCACAAUGGGCGAAAGCCUGAUGCAGCGACGCCGCGUGAGCGAUGAAGCCCUUCGGGGUGUAAAGCUCUUUCGACGGGAACGAUAAUGACGGUACCCGGAGAAGAAGCUGCGGCUAACUACGUGCCAGCAGCCGCGGUAAUACGUAGGCAGCGAGCGUUGUUCGGAAUUACUGGGCGUAAAGAGUGUGUAGGCGGUGCUCCCAGUCUGUUGUGAAAUCUCCCGGCUUAACUGGGAGGGUGCAGCGGAAACUAGAGUGCUAGAGGGUGGGAGAGGUAAGCGGAAUUCCUGGUGUAGCGGUGAAAUGCGUAGAUAUCAGGAGGAACACCUGGUGUAGACAGCUUACUGGACCACUUCUGACGCUGAGACACGAAAGCGUGGGUAGCAAACAGGAUUAGAUACCCUAGUAGUCC